rnacentral:rRNA from 1 species
CAGCAGCCGCGGUAAUACAGAGGGUGCAAGCGUUAAUCGGAAUUACUGGGCGUAAAGCGCGCGUAGGUGGUUCGCCAAGUUGGAUGUGAAAUCCCCGGGCUCAACCUGGGAACUGCAUCCAAAACUGGCGAGCUAGAGUAUGGUAGAGGGUGGUGGAAUUUCCUGUGUAGCGGUGAAAUGCGUAGAUAUAGGAAGGAACAUCUGUGGCGAAGGCGACUAUCUGGGCCAACACUGACACUGAGGCACGAAAGCGUGGGGAGCAAACAGGAUUAGAUACCCGGGUAGUCCCUGUCUCUUAUAC